rnacentral:misc_RNA from 1 species
UUUCCGUAGGUGAACCUGCGGAAGGAUCAUUAGUGAACGCCCUGACGGGCUUAUAUCUAUUCCAAACCUCUGUGACCCGUUCCCUUAGGGGUUAUUUGACAAACAUGGUGUAAUGAACGUAAUAUAUCAUAACAAAACAAAACUUUCAACAACGGAUCUCUUGGCUCUC